AUCCGGCUGACGAGUCUCAAAUAGAACGAAACGCGCGCCCAAGAU
rfam:Schistosoma haematobium scaffold631_11, whole genome shotgun sequence.